rnacentral:rRNA from 1 species
CAGCCGCCGCGGUAAUACCGGCCCCGCGAGUGGUCGGGGUGAUUAUUGGGCCUAAAGCGCCCGUAGCCGGCCCGGUGUGUCCUCCCUUAAACCCCCGGGCUCAACCCGGGGAAUGGGGAGGAUACUACCGGGCUAGGGGGCGGGAGAGGCCGAGGGUACUCCCGGGGUAGGGGCGAAAUCCGUUAAUCCCGGGAGGACCACCCGUGGCGAAGGCGCUCGGCUGGAACGCGCCCGACGGUGAGGGGCGAAAGCCGGGGGAGCGAACCGGAUUAGAUACCCGGGUAGUCCCGGCUGUAAACGAUGCGGGCUAGCUGUUGGGUGGGCUUAGAGCCCACCCAGUGGCGCAGGGAAGCCGUUAAGCCCGCCGCCUGGGGAGUACGGCCGCAAGGCUGAAACUUAAAGGAAUUAGGCGGG